rnacentral:rRNA from 1 species
UAAGGAAUAUUGGACAAUGGGCGAAAGCCUGAUCCAGCCAUGCCGCGUGCAGGAAGAAUGCCCUAUGGGUUGUAAACUGCUUUUAUAUGGGAAGAAUUGCUUCGACGUGUCGGAGUUUGACGGUACCAUAUGAAUAAGCACCGGCUAACUCCGUGCCAGCAGCCGCGGUAAUACGGAGGGUGCAAGCGUUAUCCGGAAUUACUGGGUUUAAAGGGUGCGUAGGCGGCAACGUAAGUCAGAAGUGAAAGCU